GAUGAACGCUGUCAGCAUGCUUAACACAUCAGCCACUGAUUGGUGGCCGCCGGGUGCGUAACACGUACAGAACUUUCCUCACCGGUUGGGACCACAUAUGGACACGAAUGCUAAUCCCUAAUACUCUGGGAGAGCUUUGCGUCCCAUUAGCUAGUUGGAGAGGUAACGGCUCACCACGGCGAUGAUGGGUAGCCGGCCUGCGAGGGUGAUCGGCCACAAGGUGACGGGGACAAGGCCCGUAGGCAUACGGGCGGAAGCAGUGAGGAAUAGUUGACAAUGGACCGAAGUCUGAUCCAGCAAUUCGGGUGGCAAGAUGAAGUUGUGGGAAGGUAAGGUGCUGAGAGUUUGGAAGCGGUACCAACAGAAGAAGCGACGGCUAAAUACGUGCCAGCCGCCGCGGUAAUAC
rnacentral:rRNA from 1 species